UUGAUGUCAAUUUUCAACUGUGUAUUUGAGGAUUUUGAGUGGAUUCUCACUUCUUGUCACCUGAGUAUCAGAUCCUGAAGAAGAAGAAUACCGAUUUAGAAAACUACAAAAAUAAAAAGAUGAUGAUGAUGAUGAAUAAAGGAUAAAAUUACAAAGUUCCGACCCUUGGGCGUCUACUGCAAGAAGAUAAGAAGAAGUGAACGUCCGAUUUGGGCAGCCGAUAGAGGUAUUGUCAAUUAGGGUUCUCUGUUGGGAGCAGAGAUGUCGAUUGAUGGGACGAUGGGUUUUAAUUUGGGGUUUAAGUUUGAAUAAUCCCUGGAUUUUAUUUAUAAAAAAAAAU
rnacentral:lncRNA from 1 species